AGAGUUUGAUCCUGGCUCAGGACGAACGCUGGCGGCGUGCUUAAUACAUGCAAGUCGGACGGGAUUGGAGAGCUUGCUUUCCAUGAGAGUGGCGCACGGGUGCGUAACACGUAUGUAACCUACCUUUAUCAGGGGGAUAGCCUCUCGAAAGAGAGAUUAAGCCCGCAUAAUAUGGAGACACAGCAUUGUGAUUCCAUCAAAUAUUUAUAGGAUAAAGAUGGGCAUGCGGAACAUUAGCUAGUUGGUAAGGUAAUGGCUUACCAAGGCUACGAUGUUUAGGGGAUCUGAGAGGAUGACCCCCCACACUGGUACUGAGACACGGACCAGACUCCUACGGGAGGCAGCAGUAAGGAAUAUUGGUCAAUGGGCGCAAGCCUGAACCAGCCAUGCCGCGUGCAGGAAGACGGCCCUACGGGUUGUAAACUGCUUUUGUACCGGAAUA
rnacentral:rRNA from 1 species